rnacentral:rRNA from 1 species
UACAGAGGUCUCGAGCGUUGUCGGAUUCAUUGGGCGUAAAGGUGCGUAGGUGGCUAGGUAAGUCGGAUGUGAAAUCCCGGGGCUCAACCCCGGAACUGCAUUCGAUACUGCCUGGCUAGAGUACUGGAGAGGAGAUUGGAAUUUACGGUGUAGCAGUGAAAUGCGUAGAUAUCGUAAGGAAGACCAGUGGCGAAGGCGGAUCUCUGGACAGUUACUGACACUGAGGCACGAAGGCCAGGGGAGCAAACGGG